rnacentral:rRNA from 1 species
UGAACGCUAGCUACAGGCUUAACACAUGCAAGUCGAGGGGCAGCAUUUUAGUUUGCUUGCAAACUGAAGAUGGCGACCGGCGCACGGGUGAGUAACACGUAUCCAACCUGCCGAUAACUCCGGGAUAGCCUUUCGAAAGAAAGAUUAAUACCGGAUAGCAUACGAAUAUCGCAUGAUAUUUUUAUUAAAGAAUUUCGGUUAUCGAUGGGGAUGCGUUCCAUUAGUUUGUUGGCGGGGUAACGGCCCACCAAGACUACGAUGGAUAGGGGUUCUGAGAGGAAGGUCCCCCACAUUGGAACUGAGACACGGUCCAAACUCCUACGGGAGGCAGCAGUGAGGAAUAUUGGUCAAUGGGCGAGAGCCUGAACCAGCCAAGUAGCGUGAAGGAUGAAGGCUCUAUGGGUCGUAAACUUCUUUUAUAUGGGAAUAAAGUUUUCCACGUGUGGAAUUUUGUAUGUACCAUAUGAAUAAGGAUCGGCUAACUCCGUGCCAGCAGCCGCGGUAAUACGGAGGAUCCGAGCGUUAUCCGGAUUUAUUGGGUUUAAAGGGAGCGUAGGUGGAUUGUUAAGUCAGUUGUGAAAGUUUGCGGCUCAACCGUAAAAUUGCAGUUGAAACUGGCAGUCUUGAGUACAGUAGAGGUGGGCGGAAUUCGUGGUGUAGCGGUGAAAUGCUUAGAUAUCACGAAGAACUCCGAUUGCGAAGGCAGCUCACUAGACUGUCACUGACACUGAUGCUCGAAAGUGUGGGUAUCAAACAGGAUUAGAUACCCUGGUAGUCCACACAGUAAACGAUGAAUACUCGCUGUUUGCGAUAUACAGUAAGCGGCCAAGCGAAAGCAUUAAGUAUUCCACCUGGGGAGUACGCCGGCAACGGUGAAACUCAAAGGAAUUGACGGGGGCCCGCACAAGCGGAGGAACAUGUGGUUUAAUUCGAUGAUACGCGAGGAACCUUACCCGGGCUUAAAUUGCAACAGAAUAUAUUGGAAACAGUAUAGCCGUAAGGCUGUUGUGAAGGUGCUGCAUGGUUGUCGUCAGCUCGUGCCGUGAGGUGUCGGCUUAAGUGCCAUAACGAGCGCAACCCUUAUCUUUAGUUACUAACAGGUUAUGCUGAGGACUCUAGAGAGACUGCCGUCGUAAGAUGUGAGGAAGGUGGGGAUGACGUCAAAUCAGCACGGCCCUUACGUCCGGGGCUACACACGUGUUACAAUGGGGGGUACAGAAGGCGGCUACCUGGUGACAGGAUGCUAAUCCCAAAAACCUCUCUCAGUUCGGAUCGAAGUCUGCAACCCGACUUCGUGAAGCUGGAUUCGCUAGUAAUCGCGCAUCAGCCAUGGCGCGGUGAAUACGUUCCCGGGCCUUGUACACACCGCCCGUCAAGCCAUGAAAGCCGGGGGUACCUGAAGUACGUAACCGCAAGGAGCGUCCUAGGGUAAAACUGGA